CAGUAGCCGCGGUAAGACAGAGGAUGCAAGCGUUAUCCGGAAUGAUUGGGCGUAAAGCGUCUGUAGGUGGCUUUUCAAGUCCGCCGUCAAAUCCCAGGGCUCAACCCUGGACAGGCGGUGGAAACUACCAAGCUGGAGUACGGUAGGGACAGAGGGAAUUUCCGGUGGAGCGGUGAAAUGCGUUGAGAUCGGAAAAAACACCAACGACGAAAGCACUCUGCUGGGCCGACACUGACACUUAGAGACGAAAGCUAGGGGAGCAAAUGGGAUUAGAUACCCCCGUAGUCCCUGUCUCUUAUAC
rnacentral:rRNA from 1 species